CUUUGGCUUUUGCUGGCUGAGCAGGGAAAGGCCUAUAGACACAGGGCAUUGGGCAGGAGCUAGAACAGCCCUCCCUAGAGCACUACAUAAAGCAGCCAAUAUUUUGCAAAGCAUAGGGAAGAGUGAAAGUCAUCCGGGGCAUUUGCAGACACAGCACUAAGAACUUGGUGACAACAGCCCUGAAGCAAAACAGCAGCAUGUACUGGGCAGGGCUUGGGAGAUAAGACAGGACAUCUGAAGCUAAACAUGGUGAGUCCAUUUCCUGGGCUUUCUGGAGCUAUGCAGGGUGAUAGGCUCAUCCUGGCUUGCCCAGGACUCUCGUCGUUUUAGUACUAAAAGUCCUGUGUCCUGGAAACUCCUCAGUCCCAGGCCAGGUGGUUCAGAGUCAGCAGUCCUGGAUGAGUCAGUGCUCUCCUACAAGCAGAGUUAGUUUCUUAACCUCCCUGAGUCACAAUUUUCUCAUUUGUAAAUAAAAUAAGGUAAUAUACUGCCUACUCUAAGUUUUUGUGAAAGUCAAAAGAAAUAAGUCUUGAAAAGGUAAUAGAACCAAAUUUGGCACAUAGUAAUUAUUCAAUGUUAACAGGAAGGAGGGAAGGGAAGGAGGAAGAAAAUGUUAAAAGAUCGUUUUUUAAGGUAAAAAUCAUAACUCUUUACUCAUAUAAAAUGAAUAUGUAUCAAAGGUUUUAUUUAACUCGUUAGUUUAUGAUAGAACCUGUCCAAUGUUACAACCCACUGAAAGGAGUAUUCAGAGAAUCCCACAAUAAAGCCAAUAAGGAAUGCUGAAAUCAACUUACAUACAGAAAUAAAACUGGUCUAUCCGCAGGGUAAAGAUAGACUGCAUUCCAUUGGACAUAAUCAUUUGUACUCCCAUGGGCAAGAAUAAUUUGCAUUAAUCUAAGUUUUCUUCAACUUACAGAGUUGUAAAAUAGCUCAAAGACGAUGAAAGGCAAUAACCUGGAAAAGUGUACCGGACAAAAAACCCAGUAAUUUUUUUUUUUCCUAUUUGAAAGUCUUUCAUAAUCUUUCCUAACAGAAGAAAAGAAAGAAGGAAGGAAGGGAGGGAGGGAGGGAGGAAGGGAAGGAGGGAGGGAAAGAAGUGUGGGUCUAAUAGGGUUUGGAUAUGGUUUGGCUCUGUGUCCCCACCCAAAUCUCAUGUUGAAUUGUAAUUCCCAGUGUUGGGGGAGGGACCUGAUAGGAGGCGACUGGAUCAUGGAGGUGGAUUUCCCCCUUGCUAUUCUCAUGAUAGUGAGUGAGUUCUCAGGAGAUCUGGUUGUUUAAAUGUGUGUAGCACUUCCCCCUUCACUCUUGCUCUCCCGCUCUGCCAUGUGAAGAAGGUGCUUGCUUCCACUUCACCCUUCCGCCAUGAUUGUAAGCUUCCUGUGGCCUCCCCAGCCAUGCUUCCUGCACAGCCUGCGGAACUGUGAGGCAAUUAAACCUCUUUUCUUCAGAAAUUACCCAGCAUCAAGUAGUUAUUUAUAGCAGUGUGAGAACGGACUAAUACAGGGUCUUUAGUGAGAAGUUUAUACUGGAACUAAAUGAAUCAUAUGUACGGUGGGUUUAUGUAAGAAUGGCUAAAUGGCUAAAUGCAGCAGGGUGUAUUCCUUAUCCACUGCUCUGUAACAAAUUUCACAGCUUAGAAAAAUAUGCAUUUAUCACUUCAUAGUUUCUGUGGGCUGGGCGUCCAGGAAUAACAUUGCUGGGUUCUCUGCUUCAGGAUCCCCUCUGAAAGCUACAAUCAAAGUGUCAUCCACAAAAUCUUAUCUCAAGCCUUGACUAGAGAAGGACCCACUUCCAAGACCACAGAGUUGAAUGAAUUCAGUCCUUGCAGCCCGUUGAACUGAGGGCCUCCCCAACAUGCUCACCUGCUUCAUCAAAGCCUGCGAGAGAGAGAGUCCACUAGCAAGAGGACAUUGCAGUCUUAUCUAAUGCAAUCACUGAAGUGACAUCCUGUCACCUUGGUCACCUUUUCUAUUCUAUUCAUUAUAAAUGAGUCCCAAGUCCUGCCACACUCAAGUGGAGGGGAUUACACAGGGCUGGAGUACCAGCGGUGGGGAUAAUUUGGGGUCAUCUUAGAGUUCUUCCAUCACACGGGAAUUCUCAGCUCACCAAAUCUGGGAUUCCGCAUCUGGCCAUUCCUUAAGCUGAAGGCCUGGCAUAUUUUUGAGUGUCCAUUUGGAUCAGCUAAUAAACCCAGGGUUUGUCUACUGGCUGGAGGAGUAAGAACUAUAAGGCUAAUUGAAAUGAAUCUACUUAAAAUAGUGACCUGAUUUUUCUAAUAAUUACUGGAAGGUAAGGGUUGAUUGAGACUUUAAAAUAAAACCAAAAAUUAUUCUAAAUUUUUCAUAUUU
rnacentral:lncRNA from 1 species